UACGUAGGGAGCAAGCGUUGUCCGGAAUCAUUGGGCGUAAAGCGCGCGUAGGUGGCUUCGUAAGUCCGUUGUGAAAGUCAAAGGCUCAACCUUUGAAAGCCGAUGGAUACUGUCAAGCUCGAGUCCGGAAGAGGAGUGUGGAAUUCCUGGUGUAGCGGCGAAAUGCGCAGAUAUCAGGAGGAACACCAAUGGCGAAGGCAGCACUCUGGGACGUGACUGACGCUGAGACGCGAAAGCGUGGGGAGCAAACAGG
rnacentral:rRNA from 1 species